rnacentral:ribozyme from 1 species
UGCCCAGCAACUCCUAUCCCUACCUCCUCGCGGUACCGGCCGGACACUAUGAGCAACCUUAGGGAAGA